rnacentral:rRNA from 1 species
AUGGCCACCGGAGGUAUAACCAUAGAAACCAUACCAGAGGAACUUCCACUUGACUUUCUGAAGAAAAUUACGAAUAACUUCUCCAGCGACAGUGAUCAUCUGAUUGGAACAGGAUCAUUUGGGUCAGUUUAUAGGGGGUUUCUGGAUAAUGGCGAGGUGAUUGCUGUGAAGAAACUCGGGGAAGAAUCACCUGUGCCACGUGACAAAGUAUUUGCAAAUGAGGUUAAGAAUAUUAUGGUGCUCGAACAUGAAAAUAUUGUCAAGUUGAUAGCAUACUGCUAUGACACAAACAACAGAUUGGUGCUGAGCAAUGGAAGACACAUUAUUGCAGAGAUUACUGAAACUUUACUCUGCUAUGAAUACUUAGCUAAGGGCGGCCUCGACAAGAAUCUUUUCGGUGAACCCAGUAUUGACUGGGAUACACGGUUCAAAAUAAUAAAGGGGAUUUGUGAAGGUGUACAUUUUAUACAUACCUUACCUAGUCCCAUUCUCCAUUUGGGUCUGAAGACUCAAAAUAUAUUGCUGGAUGACAACUUGACACCAAAACUUUCGGAUUUUGGAUUCGCCAGAAUAUUUGGGGAAGAAUACACCCGAAUAAACACAAGAAGUGUUGUGGGACAUGUUGGAUACAUGGCCCCAGAGUAUCUAUAUAAUGGUGAAAUCUCGGCCCGUUCGGACAUAUAUAGUUUAGGCCUAAUUAUAUUGGAGAUCUGCACGAAAGAGAAGAAUAGUUCCAGCACUGACCAGAAGCAUGCAAGGAAAUAUAUUGACGGGGUAAAAAAACAUUGGUUCCAAAUAGAACAAAUAAUGGCCGAGUAUUCCGAUUUAGAAGAACAUUGUUUUGACCAAAUAGAAGGCUGCAUACAUAUUGGACUAGAAUGUGUGGAGCUUGAUCAGAAGAAGAGACCUUCCAUAGAGCACAUUGUGAACAAGCUCAAUAAUCUCCCAACUGAGAAUAGUUAA